rnacentral:lncRNA from 1 species
CCUCGUACAUCUUGCCGACAACGUACCCAUCCAUCCAAAAGCAAAUUAAAGAUAACCUAUUACUAUACCUUAUUUAGGAUUAUUCAAUUCUUAAACUCAUCGUUGAUUAUUGUAUUAUUCAUUACCUUAAUAGUAGUAUCCGUGCACGUUUUAACGUUUAUACACACCUAACAAAGACUUUACUUUUGCCUAAAAUAUAUAAGACUGUAUUCUUUGUCACAAAAGAAGCUGUAUUAGUACGAUAGAGUGGUUUUGUUUUUGCUAAUCGGUGUAAUAAUCCUUUAUUUUGUUUACAAAGUAUAUAUAAGGAAUGGUAUGCCUUUGUUAUAGCUUUGUCUUUAAUGGUUUGAAU